GACGAACCGUCCAAACGUUAUUCGGAAUUACUGGGCUUAAAGGGUGCGUAGGCGGCCGUUCAAGUCGGGUGUGAAAGCCCUCAGCUCAACUGAGGAACUGCGCCCGAUACUGUUCGGCUUGAGGAAGGCAGAGGUGAGCGGAACUUGCGGUGGAGCGGUGAAAUGCGUUGAUAUCGCAAGGAACACCAGUAGCGAAGGCGGUUCACUGGGCCUUUUCUGACGCUGAGGCACGAAAGCUAGGGUAGCGAAGAGG
rnacentral:rRNA from 1 species